rnacentral:misc_RNA from 1 species
UGAUGCAGCAGGAAUCUCAUCCUUAUGAAAGGAAAAGAAUAUUUCGUUUGGUGCAGCUUCCAAAAGGAUGCCUUUGCCGAGCUUUACUUCUGCUGGUCGAUAUAGCCAAUUCACGCCUAACUUUAACUCGUUCUCUUUACCAGUAGUCACCCAACGAAUUAUUCCAAUGAAAGGUGGGGAAUCCUGAGGUGGUUUGAAAAGAGCACAAUCUCCAACACUGAUUUUGCGUCCGUCCUGUUAAAGAAAGACAAAAAGGGAACUUCAGUGAAUUAUCACACAGUUUACCUGAAGAGAAUGAGCCAAAUAUAACUGCAUUUCCAAAUCAAUAAACAUAAUAAACUGUUCCACAAGUACAGAAAAUGAAGUAGGAAAUCAUAAAGGCAAUCGUUCCAGAAAUAAUAAAUUUAGUGAUCACAUUAAUCUUACUCAUGAAUAACCUCAUUAGUGUACAUUACGAUCAACACCAUGAAUUUCAAAAUUCCUUCUUGUAACUUUAAUGUCCAGCCUCUGUUACAUUUAUUAAUAGUGCACUUCUAACUAAGUUAUCAACUACUGAAAAAAUGCAUAAAAGCGCCUCCAUCUAUGCAGACAUCAUAUUAUGUGUAACACAAAGACUAGUGCACCCAAAAUAUUAUGAAUAAAUAAAAUGAUGUGCUGAACCAUACUCAGAGUUUCUAAGAACUGCAUAGCAGUUAUGCACCCGCCAAAAUGUCAUUUUACAGCAGCAAAGAUUCAUUGUUAACAACUUCAGACUGACGAUUGAUCCAUUUUCCACUUCCACACACACCACCACAUCACAUACGGAAUGAAGCGCAAAGCCUUAAGUUUAUAAGAAAAGACACAACUCCUACACCAAUCAAAAUACACAAAACCAAAUUUCAUCAGAAUUGUCUUCAAAUCCUACAUGAAACAAGUCAUCACGCACAAUUCUCCAAAAUCAGAUUCAAUCAUAAAUUCACGUAAAUAAAGCCAGUCAUUUCCCCAAUUUUCCAUCUACACAAGACAAACAACACAAAAAAUCGAUCCACUUCCCAACUAACCACACCAGAAUCAAACCAUUUCCACCUCAAUAGCUUAAAUCCCCCCAAAACAAAUUCAUAUCUUCCUCCUCCCUCAUACAAACCAAAAUCCAAACAAACAAAACCUUCUGAAAUCCCUUCAUUGACCUAGAGAAAAAAAAAAAUCAAAACCAAAAUCAUGGGGAAAUUGGGUGAAAA